GUUGUCGUCAGCUCGUGUCGUGAGAUGUUGGGUUAAGUCCCGCAACGAGCGCAACCCUUAAGCUUAGUUGCCAUCAUUAAGUUGGGCACUCUAAGUUGACUGCCGGUGACAAACCGGAGGAAGGUGGGGAUGACGUCAAAUCAUCAUGCCCCUUAUGAUUUGGGCUACACACGUGCUACAAUGGACAAUACAAAGGGCAGCGAAACCGCGAGGUCAAGCAAAUCCCAUAAAGUUGUUCUCAGUUCGGAUUGUAGUCUGCAACUCGACUACAU
rnacentral:rRNA from 1 species